rnacentral:rRNA from 1 species
CGAACGCUGGCGGCAGGCUUAACACAUGCAAGUCGAGCGCACUCUUCGGAGUGAGCGGCGGACGGGUGAGUAACGCGUGGGUAACCUGCCCCAUACAAUGGGAUAGCCACUGGAAACGGUGAUUAAUACCAUAUAAUAUCAGCGAAUCGCAUGAUUUGCUGGUCAAAGAUUUAUCGGUAUGGGAUGGACCCGCGUCUGAUUAGCUAGUUGGUAAGGUAAUGGCUUACCAAGGCGACGAUCAGUAGCCGACCUGAGAGGGUGAUC